GAACUGUCCAAACGGAGGAGGAGGGACUUCUGAGCCCCUCCACGUCACCAAAAAGGAAGAAGCAACCCAAAAAGAUCAACGUUCGUCAAUCUCUCGCACGAAGAAGUCAUACCUCGCGAAAGCAUGUUCGCGGUAGCCGGUCAGACGAUCAGACCUCUAAUCUGGAGGGCCAAUCAUCACCUAUGGAGCAGUCUGAACUGACUACGAUACCACCUCAACGAUUGCACUGCUAUAAUGAGACCCACCAUGAAAACGGAACCACCUCUCUCAUUCGAAAAGCAAAGAUCUAGACUAUUAAAAAUGACCCGUUCCGAAAUCUAGAACAUGAACCGACCAAAUGUAUGAUGAUUUGAGAAAGAAGGAAGAAAGAAAUCCAAACCCAUGCACUAGUUUCCUUGGCUACAUGAGCGGAGAUGUGCGUAAAGGGAAUACUUCGGUUUUUCUUACUGCGCAAGCAGACCUGCAUAAGAUGAGUCACGGAAGUGCCUUUCACGGUUAUAAAUACCUCCUAUCCGACGGUGGGGAAAGGAGAAAGAAAGAGAAAAACAAGAAGGAGAAAAAGAGAGGAAGAAAAUGAGCGAAGAAAAGAGAAAAAGAAAAAGAAGGGAAGAGAAGCUGUAGUUGGAAAGGAGGAUGGCUACCCACGCCAAACAACCCGCUGAUGGCGAGUUGAAAUACAGGUCUAACCCUUCGAUGCAAUCACAUUCAAGGAAGAGACAAAACACUUAAGGUAACGUACAAGUUGAGGAUCCAGAAGGCCAGCCUCCGAUGAAAGACUUUACUGAAUAUAAUAGGAAUAUUAGUUUAUGAUUUGUUUUCUUUAUACUUUCGCUAUGCAACUUGGAUACUGGAAUAAGCUCACAUUAUGAGAGUAUUUAACAAAAAAUUUAAUUAUGGAAUGAGAGAUACAGUUAAUUUUAUUCUUGUGAAUGAUUACCAUUACGAAUGUAACUAGAUGUGAUCUAGAUAAGAGAAAUCUCAAGGCUAGCCCCCGAGACAUCCACUUCUUAUAUCAUUAACAGCCGAUUUCCUCAGGCAUGAGUAUAAACUCUUGCCAUGAAAAUUCAGAAUGUUAAAUAAACAUAUUACGAUCUUUGCACACGUGCCGAGUUGCACCAGUGUAUAACACUCACUCCAACUUUUUUAUAAGAAAGACUUCUGACACCACAACUACUACCAUGUUAGGCUCAUUGCUUGCUAAUGUAAGAUUAGCCUGAGACUUAUCUUUGUUUUCUUUAGCCUGUAGGUUUUAAUGUGAUGCCCAGGCUUUCCACAGUUAUAAUAGUUUUCUUUUUUCUCAAAUUUAUUAAUUGUUUUUGUUCUUCUUUUUUGGCAUGUAUUCAUUAGCAUAAUUUUCAGGCUUACCACUGUUAUUACAUUUACUUUUUUUUCUUCUUUUUAUUAUUUUUCUGACUUGAUUCUACAAGAUUCACCUUUAAAUAUACUUUAUUUGAAUUUUCUUUUUCGUCCACGUUUUUGUUAGUAUCUUCUAUUCGUAUGUGUACGAUUGCAGUUUCUAAUGAGACAUCUUUCCUUUUAUGUUUCAUUUUAUUCUUAUAUUCUUUCUAGGAGAACAAUAGUUUUUCCAUUAGCACUCCUGACAAAAACACUUCAUCCAACUUAAUUCCUUCUAACGAUAGUUCAUAAACUAAAAUUUGAAAAUCGUAAAUCUGA